rnacentral:rRNA from 1 species
UGGUGACUAUAGCGAAGUGGACACACCUGUUCCCAUGCCGAACACAGAAGUUAAGCACUUCAGCGCCGACGAUAGUCCUAACGGGCGAAAAUAGGUCGUUGCC